AGAGUUUGAUCCUGGCUCAGGAUGAACGCUGGCGGCGUGCUUAACACAUGCAAGUCGAACGGGAACCUCUGGAUUCGUCUGGAGGGGAGAGUGGCGAACGGGUGAGUAACACGUAAGUGACCUGCCUCGAAGAUGGGGACAACUGCUGGAAACGGCAGCUAAUACCCAAUGGUCUCGGCGAUUCGGUUCGCUGAGUAAAUGCUACGGCGCUUCGGGAGGGGCUUGCGGCCCAUCAGCUUGUUGGUAGGGUAAUGGCCUACCAAGGCGAAGACGGGUAGGGGACGUGAGAGCGUGACCCCCCACACUGGCACUGAGACACGGGCCAGACUCCUACGGGAGGCAGCAGUGAGGAAUAUUGCGCAAUGAGCGAAAGCUAGACGCAGCAACGCCGCGUGGGUGAUGAAGGCCCUCGGGUCGUAAAACCCUUUUCUGGGGGACGAGAAAGGACGGUACCCCAGGAAUAAGCCUCGGCUAACUAUGUGCCAGCAGCCGCGGUAACACAUAGGAGGCAAGCGUUAUCCGGAUUUAUUGGGCGUAAAUGCGUUGAGGCGGUCCCGUAAGUUGGACGUGAAAGCUCCCGGCUCAACUGGGAGAGGCCGUUCAAUACUGUGGGGCUUGAGGGCAGCAGAGGGGGGUGGAAUUCCCGGUGUAGUGGUGAAAUGCGUAGAUACCGGGAGGAACACCAGUGGCGAAGGCGGCCCCCUGUGCUGCUCCUGACGCUGAAGGCGAAAGCUAGGGGAGCAAACGGGAUUAGAAACCCCGGUAGUCCUAGCCGUAAACGAUGGAUACUAGGUGUAGGGGGUGAAUACUCCCUCUGUGCCGAAGCUAACGCGUUAAGUAUCCCGCCUGGGGAGUACGAUCGCAAGAUUAAAACUCAAAGGAAUUGACGGGGACCCGCACAAGCAGCGGAGCGUGUGGUUUAAUUCGAUCAACGCGAAGAACCUUACCAGGGUUUGACAUGUAGGUAGUAGUGAAGCGAAAGCGGAACGAUCCUUCGGGAAGCCUGCACAGGUGCUGCAUGGCUGUCGUCAGCUCGUGCCGUGAGGUGUUAGGUUAAGUCCUGUAACGAGCGCAACCCCUGCCGUUAGUUACAAGUGUCUAACGGGACUGCCCGGCAAAACUGGGAGGAAGGUGGGGAUGACGUCAAGUCAGCAUGGCCUUUAUAUCCUGGGCUACACACACGCUACAAUGGCCGGUACAAUGGGUAGCCAAGCCGCGAGGCGGAGCCAAUCCUCUAAAGCCGGUCUCAGUUCGAAUUGUAGGCUGCAACUCGCCUGCAUGAAGUUGGAGUUGCUAGUAACCGUAGGUCAGCACACUACGGUGAAUACGUUCCCGGGUCUUGUACACACCGCCCGUCACGUCAUGGGAGCUGGUAACACCUGAAGCCGGUGGGCUAACCUAACGGAGGCAGCCGUCGAAGGUGGGACUGGUGACUGGGACGAAGUCGUAACAAGGUA
rnacentral:rRNA from 1 species